CGAGGUAGAGAUAUUGGGCCUAAGCAUCCGUAGCCGGUUUUACAAGUCCUCCGUUAAAUCCAACUGCUUAACAGAUGGGCCGCGGAGGAUACUAUAAGACUAGGAGGCAGGAGAGGCAAGCGGUACUCAGUGGGUAGGGGUAAAAUCCGUUGAUCCAUUGAAGACCACCAGUGGCGAAGGCGGCUUGCCAGAAUGCGCUCGACGGUGAGGGAUGAAAGCUGGGGGAGCAAACCGGAUUAGAUACCCGGGUAGUCCCAGCUGUAAACGAUGCAGACUCGGUGAUGGACUAGCUUAAUGCUAGUCCAGUGCCGCAGGGAAGCCGUUAAGUUUGCCGCCUGGGAAGUACGUACGCAAGUAUGAAACUUAAAGGAAUUGGCGGGGGAGCAC
rnacentral:rRNA from 1 species